rnacentral:lncRNA from 1 species
AUGCCUCCCGCAUCCCGCAGGCUUUUGUUCCCAGGCUUUUGUCUGGGGCUGGGAAAGGGGCCAAGAUCCCUCAGCCUCCCCAGGGACACACAUGCAGACGGGGUCUUGCCUGCUUGGGAUGCUGAGAGGGAGACAGGAGGUGAGAGCUGCCUGUGCCCGCUGCCACAGGGCUUGGGGACAUCCCAUGAGCCAUCCUGGUGUCCCUUAGUGGCCUCCAGCCGUUGUCCCCCUUGCCUGUCACAUCUCAGCACUUUCUGCCCAUCCCUGGGAGCCCCUCAUGGGACAGGUCUUGGUCCAUCCUGCCCCCACUGUGUCCCCUCUUGGCAUCCUGCCACCAGCACACCCUGCAGGCUCUGUGCAUGGCCAGUGCCAGCAGCUCAUGCCCUCCCUGUGGACACCCCCAGAUGCCAGUUUACACCCACCACCCCUGGCACCUUCCAGGCAGAGUCACCGGCUGCAUCCCCGUCACUGGGACCCUACAGAAGCUCAAGCAAAAAUUUUGUGGGUUUUACAGUGACCUCUGGCCCUCAGGAACCCAUAAUCUGGCUUUUCAUUUACAUCCCAAAAGCCACUUUAAUUAUACCUUGGGGAGGGAUUACUUCAGGAAACUGCUUUUUGGGGCAAAAUGUUGAUGGGAAAAAAUCCUAUGAACAGUCAAGCAACCCUGAAGGGACCGAGGAGACUCGAGAGCCAGCCUCAAGCCUGUCCCUGACAGUGACAAGAAACACCUUGAUGAACUCUAAGCAAAGCAGCUCCCUGAGUCCUGUGAUCACUGCUGAGUCUCUGCCUUCAUUUUGGACCAGGAGGACCUUUGGAGCCACCCUCACCAGAGACCACAGUGGACAAAAACAAGUAUUUAAGUCAAGGAAGUUAAUACAAAUUAAUUAAAAGCUCACAACAUUUUUUUUUUUUUUUUUUUUUAAUUUUUGGUAUUGAAAUGGUCCUGUCCCAAGGCCAUGCAGGGAGCCCCUGGCUGAACCCACUGUGAGGUCUGGGGGCACAGGCACAGGAGCUAAAGCAGACCCGACCCAGGCUGAGCUGUAGCUCCAAAGCUGCUCAUUUUGGGGUUGGUUCAGCAAUGCCCAAGUUUAAUUUUCAUCAGCAAAAUUAAUCUGUGGAGUUAUUUUCCCUUCAUCCCCCUCCCCUUCCUCUCCUACCCGCUUUAUUCAAAGAAUUUGAUCAUUUCUCCCAGGAGCUCGGCACCAUUAACAUUCACUCCCAACGCGUGUGAGCUGUGCUGCAUCCCCAAGUGCUGCUCCUGCUGCCAGCCCUGGUACUCAACCAUGCUCAGGGGAAACCUGGCCAUCAGCUUCUCCUUCCAACAGCCUGGGCUGGGAGAGCCCCUCCACGCCCUGAAUCCACACCUGGCACCCCACAGAUCCACACCUGGCUGCCACAGCACAGCAAAGGAGGAUGGCAUCCUGAGCUCCAGCUUCUCCAGCAAAUUAAAGCCAAGGGGCUCUGGAAAGAACACCCAAGGCAGAGGAAUCACCAAGAGUUACAAGGUUUGGUGGUUUAAGUCAAUCAGAUUGGUGACCUGGGGCUUUCCUGGAGUCGUAUAAAUUUUGCAGACUUGUUUUUCACUAAUAAGGGUUAACUAACAAAUUACUGUUGUUUUAUUGCUAUUAUUACUGUUAUUAUCAUUAAUGUUAUUAAAUAUUGCAGGCCAGGCUGCCUUCCCCAGCACUAGCACUGAGGCACCAUGGUUGGCACAGCCUUGUCCAUUCAGCACCGUGCCUUGGCUCUGAAUGCUCCAUAGGUCUGUGUGCUGUAGAUCUUUGUGUAAUCUAUAGAAUCUAUAUCGGAAGGUGUUUGGUCUGAGAGUUUGCUGUCCUUGCUCAGUUGAGAUCUGAACUGGGCCCAAGAGCUUUGGAAAUUGGGAACAGAG